CCUACGGGCGACAGCAGUGGGGAAUAUUGCACAAUGGGGGGAACCCUGAUGCAGCGAAGCCGCGUGGGUGAAGAAGGGCCUCGGCGCGUAAAGCCCUGUCAACAUGGGAGACAAUUGCUGUACCUGAAGAAGCAGCCACGGCUCACUACGUGCCGGCAGCCGCGGUAAUACGUAGGUGGCCAGCGUUAUCCGGAUUUACUGUGUGUUAAGGGAGCUCAGACGGCGUUGCCAGCCCGGAGUGAACGCCCGGGGCCCAACCCCGGGACUGCUCUUGGAACUGCGUGGCUGGAGUGCAGGAGGGGCAGGUGGAAGUCCUGGUGUAGCGGUGAAAUGCGUAGAUAUCAGGAGGAACACCGGUGGCGAAGGCGGUGUGCCGGACCGCAACUGACGCUGAGGCCCGAAAGCGCGGGGAGCAAACAGGAUUAGAUACCCUAGUAGUC
rnacentral:rRNA from 1 species